CAGCACCUCAAGUGGUCAGGAUGAUUAUUGGGCCUAAAGCAUCCGUAGCCGGCUCUGUAAGUUUUCGGUUAAAUCUGUACGCUCAACGUACAGGCUGCCGGGAAUACUGCAGAGCUAGGGAGUGGGAGAGGUAGACGGUACUCGGUAGGAAGGGGUAAAAUCCUUUGAUCUAUUGAUGACCACCUGUGGCGAAGGCGGUCUACCAGAACACGUCCGACGGUGAGGGAUGAAAGCUGGGGGAACAAACCGGAUUAGAUACCCGAGUAGUCC
rnacentral:rRNA from 1 species